UACGUAGGGUGCAAGCGUUGUUCGGAAUCAUUGGGCGUAAAGCGCGUGUAGGUGGUUAGAUAAGUCGGGUGUGAAAUCCCUGGGCUCAACCGAGGAAGUGCAUUCGAAACUAUCUAGCUAGAGGACGGUAGAGGAAGGUGGAAUUCCUAGUGUAGAGGUGAAAUUCGUAGAUAUUAGGAGGAAUACCGGUGGCGAAGGCGGCCUUCUGGGCCGUUCCUGACACUGAGACGCGAAAGCGUGGGUAGCAAACAGG
rnacentral:rRNA from 1 species